rnacentral:lncRNA from 1 species
UUCCGCAAAACCUUUUUGUUCUGCAAUAUCUGUAUUUCUUUUUUUGUUUUCUUUUACUGUAAGCAAGACAAAUGGUCGACGCACGCACCGCCGGCUGCAUUUAAAAAUGGCCAAAAAGGAAAUGCAGCACGAUUCUGUCCAAAUGGAUGCCAGGAUACUAGGACUCCAGGACUUUGGGACGCCCGGAGAUCGGAACAGCAGGAUAACAGAUGGUGAGGCGCUGGUUCUUAGUGGCAAGUCAUAAAUGUCAGGAGCUUCUUAGACCCGAAAUCAUCCGAGACACACAUGCGAGCAGCCAGUCGUGCACUGAAAAAAAUCCAGCCACUUCAAAUGAAUUCUGAUAAUUCGGAUGAAAGCGAGCGCUUCCUUUAAACAAGUAGUGGUGGCAACUUAAAACAACUUUGUUCGCGAGUGUAUUUAUUCGACUGACAAAUAACUCAAAAUGUGAUUGAUGGCGGCCCUGACACGCUGACACAUAUAAAUGCCUGCAAAUGGAGCACGAGACGCUGCCGCUGACGUGUCAUGAGGGUCCGGAAUUUCGAAUCCGGAAUCCAUGCAUGGCUACCAGUAGCAGCAUCAGCAGCAGGAUGAGCACCCCCACCCACCUCCGCCCCCCCAGAAGUCGUGCUCCUAAUCCACCCCGGCCACAGACCAAAAAAAAAAAGUAGAGAAAAAAACCAGAAACAGAACCUUUGUUUUGGCAAUAGGCGUGCGUGAUUUUUGCGGCCGCAUCAUUACUCAACGUUC